GUCUGUCAUGGCAGCCUACGUGUGCUCUUCCAGAAACCCGUGGACUGCAUUCAUGGUUCUGCUCUUGCCUUCACAGCUGACUGUUCCCCUGAGCUGUAGUGCAAAUAGAUGGUCCUCUGAUGCCUGCACAGUGCAGUGGAGAAUGAAGUGCUGCUAGCUUCACAGGAAUGUGCAAUGGCAGCAGUUUGACUCAACAUUAGCAUUAUCAGGAGGACCUUCGUGACUUUUGCAUUAAAGACACUUAAUAUGUACACAAAGACAAGGUGUAUAUUUUACAUUCAGGAGAGGAUCCUGCAAUUCCACAGCAAACACCUGAUGACUAACGGGGGUACUCAAGCAGAACUGGUGACAUAUUUUUCCCAAAGAAUGUCUAAAUGCAAAAAGUAUUUAUAUUUCAACAGUGUCUUUGUUUGCAAUGGGCUUUAUAUGUUAUUUUCUUUGUAAUUAACCACGGGCAGUUGGUUGUAAAAUCUUAGCCA